GAUGAACGCUGACGGCAUGCUUAACACAUCAGCAAUUGAUUGGUGGCGGACGGGUGAGUAACGCGUAAAGAACUUACCUCACAGUUAGGGACCACAUUUUGAAACGAAUGCUAAUACCUAAUACUGUGAGAGAGCUUUGCGUCCCAUUAGCUAGUUGGCGAGGUAACGGCUCACCAAGGCGAUGAUGGGUAGCCGGCCUGAGAGGGUGAUCGGCCCCAAGGGGAAUGGGAAACGGACCUUACUCCGUAGGGAGGCAGGAGGGGGGAAGAUUGGACAAGGGACCAAAGUCUGAGCCAGCAAUUCUGUGUGAAGGAUGAAGUUUUCGGAAUGUAAAGUGCUUUCAGUUGGGAAGCGGUACCAACAGAAGAAGUGACGGCUAAAUACGUGCCAGCAGCCGCGGUAAUAC
rnacentral:rRNA from 1 species